GGCUGUAUGGUGUAAGGACUAGCACACUCUCAUAUUUGCAUUUGGAGUAAUGAGGGAGAAAUGUCGGUUCAAAUCCGACUGCGGCCC